rnacentral:rRNA from 1 species
UACGUAGGGUGCGAGCGUUUGUCCGGAAUUACUGGGCGUAAAGGGCGCGUAGGCGGCCCGCUAAGUCGAACGUGAAAUCCCCGAGCUCAACUCGGGAACUGCGUCCGAUACUGGCGGGCUUGAAUCCGGGAGAGGGAUGCGGAAUUCCAGGUGUAGCGGUGAAAUGCGUAGAUAUCUGGAGGAACACCGGUGGCGAAGGCGGCAUCCUGGACCGGCAUUGACGCUGAGGCGCGAAAGCGUGGGGAGCAAACAGG